GAUGAACGCUGGCGGCGUGCCUAAUACAUGCAAGUCGAGCGAACAGACGAGGAGCUUGCUCCUCUGACGUUAGCGGCGGACGGGUGAGUAACACGUGGAUAACCUACCUAUAAGACUGGGAUAACUUCGGGAAACCGGAGCUAAUACCGGAUAAUAUAUUGAACCGCAUGGUUCAAUAGUGAAAGACGGUUUUGCUGUCACUUAUAGAUGGAUCCGCGCCGCAUUAGCUAGUUGGUAAGGUAACGGCUUACCAAGGCAACGAUGCGUAGCCGACCUGAGAGGGUGAUCGGCCACACUGGAACUGAGACACGGUCCAGACUCCUACGGGAGGCAGCAGUAGGGAAUCUUCCGCAAUGGGCGAAAGCCUGACGGAGCAACGCCGCGUGAGUGAUGAAGGUCUUCGGAUCGUAAAACUCUGUUAGUAGGGAAGAACAAAUGUGUAAGUAACUAUGCACGUCUUGACGGUACCUAAUCAGAAAGCCACGGCUAACUACG
rnacentral:rRNA from 1 species